rnacentral:rRNA from 1 species
CAGCAGCCGCGGUAAUACGGAGGGAGCUAGCGUUGUUCGGAAUUACUGGGCGUAAAGCGCACGUAGGCGGUUAUUCAAGUCAGAGGUGAAAGCCCGGGGCUCAACCCCGGAACUGCCUUUGAAACUAGAUGACUGGAAUCUUGGAGAGGUCAGUGGAAUUCCGAGUGUAGAGGUGAAAUUCGUAGAUAUUCGGAAGAACACCAGUGGCGAAGGCGACUGACUGGACAAGUAUUGACGCUGAGGUGCGAAAGCGUGGGGAGCAAACAGGAUUAGAUACCCGCGUAGUCCCUGUCUCUUAUAC